AUCAAUUAACGACGCUCGGGAGCUUAGCUAGCCAGUGGCAUGGAGCUGGAGAUGGGGAGCCACGCGGCGCUGAUCAAGGUCGGGGUGUUCGUGCUAGUGCAGGCGCUGGUGUACCUCAUCCUCGCCCAGUCCUCCGGCGUCUUCUCCAGGGCCAAGAGCCACGGCCUCCGCCCGGCGCGCUCCCUCAGCGCGCGCGGCAUGGUCGCGCUGCUUUCCGACAUGCCGCUCGGCGGGGAGCCGUCGCCUCGCGCCGUCUCCGGCGUGGAGCAGUCGCCCGUACCGAGCGCCCACCAGAAGAAGGAUUAACUCCACUCUCGAAGGAAAAAAAAUUAAAUGGAGGAGGAUGGUUAACUCGAGGCCAUUUUACCUUUUGGUGGUUGAUGAAUGAUGAUACUUUAGCUGAUUCCCACUUCUUUCUAACAGCAAGUGGCUAGUGUAGGCGUGUAGUUAUGGAAGAUUACCAUUCUUUGAUUGAUCUGUUUAAAAGAUGUGACCAUGUGUUGCUGUAUCUGGUCGUGGUUCAAUUGUUCUUGUGUUUUGAGCAGAGAUUUGUGGUGAACGAAGCAGUGUUGGCACACGAUGGUGAUGCGUUGAUCGUUGUCCUAGUCAACGUACAACCAUUGGAUUUCGCCCACUUGUCACUUAAUACUAGCAGAGUGCCCACGUUUUGCUACGAAAAAAAUAAUAAUAGACAAAAACAGUUUGGAAAAGAUGGAUUAUCAUAAAAGCGAUGCCAAAUUCAGCCUAUGAAUUCAACAAAUUCAAAUUCUUUUUCUUGUGUCCUGCACAAAUAGUCGGACACAAUGCCCACAGACUUGGCUUGUAACCUAAAAAAAUGCUUCAAAAUUACUGCCAGCAAGAUUCAACUUAUAUAACUCGUAGGGUAGGGUCCAACUACCACAAUGUACUCAUUAACGUGUAUGCGUCGGUAAAGUUAGUUUCUUGAUGAACCAAGUGCAUGGCCCUUUUUAACUCCCUCUAAUCCCAAAAUCAUUCACGUACUGCCCACUGCUCCCACAAAUACUAAAAAGGAAACAAUCAAGCAGCACUAGCGAAUACAAACUCGCCAUAUUACUAAUGUAGAUUCAAUUCGGAGAAGGCAGCAAUGGAAGCUGGCGACAACUGUGGAGUUAUUGGGGGGAGGGUUCGAGAUAAUUAUGGAAGAUGGACAUAACUGUGCAGUUUGGGGAUGCCGGUUAGUUGCAUGAUGGGAUUUUUGGAUGGGGUGGGCAGCGUUGUCGUGGUUGAUUUGGAGAAUCGAUGGGCAUUUUGUUGUGGGCCUGGGAUCGGGGGACCGCUGGAGGGAGGACGCACUGAUGGACGUACCAACUGUGGCUUAAAGAAUAGUAUAGAUUAUGAAAGAUGGACAUAAUUGUGCAGUCUGGGGAUACCGGUUAGUUGCAUGACGGAAUUUUUGGGAUGGGGUGGGCGGUAUUGUCGUGAUUGAUUUGGGGAAUCGAUGGGCGUUUUGUUGUGGGCCUGGGAUCGGGGGAACCGCUAGAGGGAGGACGCACGGAAGGAUGUACCAACUCUGGCUUAAAGAAUAGUAUAGAUAUAGAUAUACCUAUACGGCGAAGUAUCCGGUGAAAACCCUCAUUCAGUGCAAACCGUGCAAACUCCAUAAAAACCACAUUUAGAAUUUUCAAAAAAAUUCUAAAAAAAUACCAUAUGUUGGGACUGUGAUGUUCCACAAACCUGCAAAAUUUUAAGAUCAAAAUCAAAAGCAUUUGGGAGAAAUUAAAAAGAUAAAUUUACAAUGAAUAGUGUCAAACACUGAAAAACCACUAUUCAUGCAGAAUUUGUCUUUUUCGCUGCUACCAAACGAAAUUGAGUUUGGACUUGAAAUUUCACACAUAUAUAAAACAUCAGUUUUCUAACAUAUUUGAUUUUUUUUUGAAUUUUUUGAACAUUUUUUGAUGGAGUUUUCACAGUUUGCACCGUAGAGGUGGUUUUCACUGGAUACUUCGCCUACCUAUACAGCCCAACUUACUACUACUAUUUAUACCCUGACAUGUAGAAAAUUAUGAUAGAUUUUGAAGGGACGUAUGCAUGGAAAACUUGAAAGGGGGCAAAAAUUAUAGGCGAAGUAUCGGUGAAAACCCUCGUUCGGUGCAAACCGUACAAACUUCAUAAAAACCACGUUUAGAAGUUUCAAAAAAAUUCUAAACAAAUACCAUAUGUUGGGACUGUGAUGUUCUACAAACCUGAAAAAUUUCAAGUUCAAAAUCAAAAACGUUUGGGAAAAAUUAAAAAGAGAAAUUUACAAUGAAUAAUGUCAAACACUUAAAAACCACUAUUCAUGCAGAAUUUGUCUUUUUUGCUGCUACCAAACGAAAUUGAGUUUGGACUUAAAAUUUUACAAAUAUAUAAAACAUCACUUUUUUAACAUAUGUGAUUUUUUUGAGAAUUUUUUGAACUUUUUUCGAUGGAGUUUCCACAAUUUGCACCGUAGAGGUGGUUUUCACCGGAUACUUCGCCAAAAUUAUAUGAAGGAGAGACCAAAAUCCUAACCAUCCAAUUUGAUCGAUCAUUCACGACUAAGGAGAUCUCCAACAAGAUGAGUUAGUUGUUUGGCAGAAGAUAAGAAAUGGAGGGAGUAGUUUCUCUCUAGGGAAAUUGGUACUACAAGGUACAUGUUCUAAGUAACAACUAAAUACACUGCUGAGGAAGAUGAGUUGUUACUUAGCACCAUGUUUCAGUGGGACCAACUAUAUGAACAAUGUAAAUGUUUUUUUUGCGAAAACAAUAUAAAUGUUUUUAAGUCAUAUUAGUACUAACAAGGUGAAGAACUAUUUAUUGAAGAGUCUGUUACGACCUUUAAGUUUGAUUGUCCUCUCUCUCCUCCUGGUAUCAACCAUUGUUGAGCAUGACCUAAAAAAUUUAGAAUCAUGAAAAUUGAAAAACAAAAGACCAUAGUUCUGUCUGGACUUCUGCAUAUAGCAUGGCUUACCUUGUCACCAGUUGUAAGGUUGCACCGGCUGCGCGUAAUGGUAGGGAUCAGGUGCGGCUCAGCUUGUGUUGUGAACUGUGGAGGGCAAGGCGGACCGACGAGAGCAUGCGGCCUAGCGGUGAAUCGCCCUGGCCACGGUUAUCACCAGGAAGAGGCGCCAACGGUAAUGGUCAAGGGCUCUGGGAGUCCGGUUGGCAAUGAGUAUCCGAAACCCGGACACCCGACGGUUCUAGACCCGAUUAGAUGCACGUCUGGGGGGAAAUGAAACCCGCAGGUAUGUAAAUGGGAAAAUCUUGGACCCGUCGGGUACUCGGGUGUGGUGGGUCCGGGUCUGGUAGUGCCCUACCCGAACCCGGAAACCCGGUUAUUUGUCUAGACCCACAUGUCAUUAGUCAUUGCACUGUCUACGGUUCCCAAUUUGGCCUGGCCCAAAAUUCCUAAUCCGGCCCAACUAAAACCCUAGCAUCCCAAAUUCCCAAUCUGGCUCCUACCUGAUUCUCUUCCCAACGAUGCCUCCGCGCCACCGCAUCCAUACGCACAGAACCCUAUUCGCUUCUCCUCCUCGGCUCCUCGCAUUCUCCUCUCUAGUCCCCACUCCCCAUCCCUCCGCCGCCAAAGCAAGCGUCGAUGACCGGUGGCCAAGCGCCGUCUCUCCAUCACUCCCUCUCCCGAAGCCCCAGUCCCCAUCGCUCUCUCCCCUCACCGAAACCAAGACCUAGCCGCCGUCGCUGGCCACCUCCUCCAACCCGAGUCCCCCAGCCACCUCUUCCACCACCAGCAACCGCCACCUCAUCCAGCCACCCGCCGGCGCCACCUUAGGACACGCAAACGGAGUUGAGGGAGGCCAGGCCCUCGCACGAGUCGCCACUGCCACCAACUCCAUCUGCCGCCGCCAACCCCGACUCCUCGAGCCACGCCUCUCCGCUCUCGCCUCCUCCUGCCCUUCUGCAUCCGGAUACUUCUACGUCACUGUAGAGUUCGUGGUCAAACUGCGGUGGAGAAGGGCUCCUAGGACUUGAUUGCUUUUUGAUAUUUUGGUUCAGGGUCCUUUUUGUAAAAUCGCUAGAGCCGGGUCGGGUAUACUCGUGGGUCCACAAGACCCGAAUCAAGUCCGGACUGAUAAAUUUUCAGACCCGGCACCGGAUCCCGGUCCUGGAUCGGACGUGGGUGGCCGGGCCCGGGUCUGGCAUGGCCGAAAUCGGGUGUGACUGCGGCGUCCCCUCGUCUAUUUCACGGGCUGGCUGGGGUCUAUUGGCUGAGGUAGCAUUUUUCUUAUACCUGGGCCGUAUACCAGCGGGCUGAAAAUGUAAGCGAGCCGUAGGAAAAUCCUACGGUGAUCAACGACUGACUAGGCACCCACGGACCCACUCCUCUUGGGAAAAAAAGCUGCUCCGCAUCACAACUGCAUGGGCGUAUAUACUGGGAUCGCUCCGUUGGUGCAGGCUCCAGAUCCGAACCGGUCGGAUCGGACGGUGUAGUUGAAAGUUGACCGAUCGGGCAGUAAUCACCAAUUCACCCUGCAGGUUAGCAUACCCAUCUAGAGAAUACAGGAAACGUCUCCCCGUGCUCAUCUGCCACAUGCGACCGAACAGACCAUGGACGUGGCCAGCAGCUAGCAGCACGCUCCACCAAAAAUUGCCUCAUCUAUCUCUACUCUGCGUGACAUGUAAGCACCUUCUUGUUAGAGCAAAACCAAGAUGCGUGACUACAGCUUACGCUCACGUGAACGAAAAACCACACAAUUCCAACGUUUGUCUGCAGCAAACGCUCGGUAAAGCGAGACGGAAUUUUUUUUUUCCUCACACGCCGUGCUCAUGAGCUGAUUCCCAGGACGCGAGCGAGCGAAGCCGCCUCCAGAAAAGCUUUUGCGGUACCCCGGAUUUAAUAUGGGUCGUCCAUUUGUCCCGAUCCAGCGGUUAGUAUUAUUUGGCACUCCAUACUUAAUUCCACGGAGUACCAAGUCGAAAACCACCGGAGUACCACGGGUUUAGGGUAAAAUCGUAAUUGUGUAAGGGUAUUUUGGUCUUUCUCAUGCUCAACUGGAUAAAAAAAAGAAAAAGGCUUCAUGUGGCGUGGAGCGGACGAGAUCGUCGUGCCGUUGCAGCGGACAAAGGCGCCGCUCAGGUGACUGAACGGACGAGGCCGUUGUGCCAGCAGGAGCGGACGACACUGCUGCUCGAAGGACCGCUGCGUUCGUGGGACGGACAAGGCCGGUGUGCUGCAAUUGGGCGGACGACGGUGCCGCUCGAAGCCCCGCUGUGCUGGAGGGGACGACGCCGUUGAGACGGCGGGAAGGACAAGGCCGCCGCGCUGCGAUUGGGCGGCCGCGCCGCUCGAUUAGGCCAUUGCGCUGUAUUAGGGGGGCGAGCGGACAAACGCCAAGCCAACACCGGCGGUGGCGCCUUCCAGCGCGCGGAGAAGAGGCGACCUAGUCGGUGGUCCGGCCGGCGAGCGGGCGGCGACAAGGUAUGAGCGUCGAUCGAUCAUUCGGGAGGCAGUGAUGAGAGGAUUCGGCAGUGAGGCCGCUGUCCAGCGCCCGAAGAAGAGAGGAUUCGGCCGGCAAUCCGAUGACGAGUACACAACGACGACGAGGUCGAUCGAAUAUCGGGCUGGGGCUGCGCCGUGGCUCGAUUGGCGCUUUCCAGCGCUCCGGACGGCGAGCGGACAGUGAGAGCAGGCUGGGGGCGGCGGCGCAACUGCUCAAUGGAGACGAGGAUAUCCGAAGCCAGUUGAACGCACCUGACGUGAUCAGGACGGCGUGAGAGAAAAAUUACCAAAUUACAUUUGCAAAAUGACUAAGUUACCCUUUCUAACGAACGGUUAGAUAUACUUGGUACUCCAUGUUUGUUUUUGGAGUACUGGAUACUGUAAAAAAUCUCACAGAAAAUGGGGAGACUUGUCUAAUGGCAGCAUCGUGCGCGCGUAUCGUCGCUCACAUCCACAGCUCUGCAAGAACCCUAUCUUCUCCCCUGGAUUGCAGUCCAUCCUCCAUCAGUCCAAUCCAAGAUAGACUCCCCCACAAAAUCCCAUCCGGCGUCCGUACCCAAACACCCUAAAAAGCUUCUCAUUGUCCGGUGAAUUCGGGUAGCCAAAUCCUAUGGUUUACUACGUUGGUAGAGCUAGCCCAGCAGCCACGAGCUUACUACGAGGAAGCCUAUAUAUCCGCGACAGCGACCAAGACAAAAAGAAUCUGCACACGUGAGCGAUGACUCGAUCGGUGAGCUGAGCGCCUACCGAGCAGGUCGAACAAUUCACCCAACCCCGUGGAAUCGUUCGCCGAACCACCCCGCGAGUUGGCUACAUGCACGACGGAGACGGGCGAAGGGUCGUCUCCCGCACGCGCUCUGCCCCCGCCCCGGCAGCGGUCAAACCGGCGUCGCGGCUCGAUCGCCACUAUAUAAGGGCGCGACCCUCGCCUCCCGACCUCCUCACAAACAAAACACAAGCAACGACCUAUCUUGAUUUAGUAAUUCGAUCGCUAGCUCGUGCUGUGCCGUGUGUGUGAUCAAUUAACGACGCUCGGGAGCUUAGCUAGCCAGUGGCAUGGAGCUGGAGAUGGGGAGCCACGCGGCGCUGAUCAAGGUCGGGGUGUUCGUGCUAGUGCAGGCGCUGGUGUACCUCAUCCUCGCACAGUCUUCCGGCGUCUUCUCCAGGACCAAGAGCGUCGUCGACCUCCGCCCGGCGCGCUCCCUCAGCGCGCGCCGCAUGGUCGCGCUGCUCUCCGACCUGCCGCUCGGCGG
rnacentral:lncRNA from 1 species